CGGGCGUUAAGUUGCAGGGUAUAGACCCGAAACCCGGUGAUCUAGCCAUGGGCAGGUUGAAGGUUGGGUAACACUAACUGGAGGACCGAACCGACUAAUGUUGAAAAAUUAGCGGAUGACCUGUGGCUGGGGGUGAAAGGCCAAUCAAACCGGGAGAUAGCUGGUUCUCCCCGAAAGCUAUUUAGGUAGCGCCUCGUGAACUCAUCUCCGGGGGUAGAGCACUGUUUCGGCUAGGGGGCCAUCCCGGCUUACCAACCCGAUGCAAACUGCGAAUACCGGAGAAUGUUAUCACGGGAGACACACGGCGGGUGCUAACGUCCGUCGUGAAGAGGGAAACAACCCAGACCGCCAGCUAAGGUCCCAAAGUCAUGGUUAAGUGGGAAACGAUGUGGGAAGGCCCAGACAGCCAGGAUGUUGGCUUAGAAGCAGCCAUCAUUUAAAGAAAGCGUAAUAGCUCACUGGUCGAGUCGGCCUGCGCGGAAGAUGUAACGGGGCUAAACCAUGCACCGAAGCUGCGGCAGCGACACUGUGUGUUGUUGGGUA
rnacentral:rRNA from 1 species